rnacentral:rRNA from 1 species
GCCUUACCAUGCAGUCGAACGGCAGCAUAGGAGCUUGCUCCUGAUGGCGAGUGGCGAACGGGUGAGUAAUAUAUCGGAACGUGCCCUAGAGUGGGGGAUAACUAGUCGAAAGACUAGCUAAUACCGCAUACGAUCUACGGAUGAAAGUGGGGGAUCGCAAGACCUCAUGCUCCUGGAGCGGCCGAUAUCUGAUUAGCUAGUUGGUGGGGUAAAAGCCUACCAAGGCAACGAUCAGUAGCUGGUCUGAGAGGACGACCAGCCACACUGGGACUGAGACACGGCCCAGACUCCUACGGGAGGCAGCAGUGGGGAAUUUUGGACAAUGGGGGCAACCCUGAUCCAGCAAUGCCGCGUGAGUGAAGAAGGCCUUCGGGUUGUAAAGCUCUUUUGUCAGGGAAGAAACGGUAGUAGCGAAUAACUACUACUAAUGACGGUACCUGAAGAAUAAGCACCGGCUAACUACGUGCCAG